rnacentral:rRNA from 1 species
UACGUAGGGCGCAAGCGUUAUCCGGAAUUAUUGGGCGUAAAGAGCUCGUAGGCGGUGUGUCGCGUCGGCCGUGAAAACCUGGGGCUCAACUCUGGGCGUGCGGUCGAUACGGGCAGACUAGAGUUCGGCAGGGGAGACUGGAAUUCCUGGUGUAGCGGUGAAAUGCGUAGAUAUCUGGAGGAACACCGGUGGCGAAGGCGGCAUCCUGGACCGGCAUUGACGCGUGAGGCGCGAAAGCUAGGGGAGCAAACGGG